GACGAACGCUGGCGGCGUGCUUAACACAUGCAAGUCGAACGAAGUGGCGAACGGGUGAGUAAUACGUGGGUAACCUGCCCUCCUUUUUGGGAUACGCCUUGGAAACGGGGUCUAAUACUGAAUAAAGGGGGAUGGGCUGGCGGCCGCUCAGCUUGUUGGUGGGGUGAUGGCCGGCCAAGGCGGUGACGGGUAGCCAGCCUGAGAGGGUGACCGGCCACAUUGGGACGGAGGUACGGCCCAGACUCCUACGGGAGGGAGCAGUGGGGGAUAUUGCACAAUGGGCGAAAGCCUGAUGCGGCGACGGCGCGUGGAGUAUGACACGCUUCGGAGCGUAAACUCCUUUUGCGUUACCUAACGAAUAAGCACCGGCUAACUCCGUGCCAGCAGCCGCGGUAAUUC
rnacentral:rRNA from 1 species